UUUUCACUGCCCCUGUUGUGAAAAAACUUUUGUACGGAAAGACUACUUCAACAAGCACAUUCAGAAAUGUCAAAGGAAAGACAGCAGCAGACCAGAAACUAGAACUCCUCAUCUUCAGGUAGAAGAACCAAGGAAUGUAGAUCUGACAAGACAAAGAAACUACCCACAAUCAACAACUAUAGGUGCCGAUCAAGAUCAAGGAAACACUGGUUGUGGAGAUGAUGGGAGUAGUAGUCAAGAGG